GAUGAACGCUGGCGGCGCGCCUAACACAUGCAAGUCGAACGAUUAAAGCACCUUCGGGUGUGUAUAAAGUGGCGAACGGCUGAGUAACACGUGGGCAACCUGCCCCUCUCAUUGGGAUAGCCACGGGAAACCGUGGAUAAUACCGAAUACUUCGGGACUUCCGCAUGGAAGACUCGAGAAAGCUCCGGCGGAGAGGGAUGGGCCCGCGGCCUGUUAGCUUGUUGGUGGGGUAAUGGCCUACCAAGGCAAUGACGGGUAGCUGGGUUGAGAGACCGACCAGCCAGAUUGGGACUGAGACACGGCCCAGACUCCUACGGGAGGCAGCAGUGGGGAAUCUUGCACAAUGGGCGGAAGCCUGAUGCAGCGACGCCGCGUGCGGGAUGAAGGCCUUCGGGUUGUAAACCGCUUUCAGCAGGGACGAGGCGAAAGUGACGGUACCUGCAGAAGAAGCCCCGGCUAACUACGUG
rnacentral:rRNA from 1 species